rnacentral:tRNA from 1 species
GUUUAUAUAGCUUAAAUUAAAGCGCAGCACUGAAGAUACUAAGACAGAUUUUAACACAUCUUAUAAACA